rnacentral:rRNA from 1 species
AUUGAACGCUGGCGGAAUGCUUUACACAUGCAAGUCGAACGGCAGCACGGGGGCAACCCUGGUGGCGAGUGGCGAACGGGUGAGUAAUGCAUCGGAACGUACCCAAUCGUGGGGGAUAACGUGGCGAAAGUCACGCUAAUACCGCAUACGUCCUGAGGGAGAAAGCAGGGGAUCGCAAGACCUUGCGCGAUUGGAGCGGCCGAUGUCUGAUUAGCUAGUUGGUGGGUAAAAGCCUACCAAGGCGACGAUCAGUAGCUGGUCUGAGAGGAUGAUCAGCCACACUGGGACUGAGACACGGCCCAGACUCCUACGGGAGGCAGCAGUGGGGAAUUUUGGACAAUGGGCGAAAGCCUGAUCCAGCCAUUCCGCGUGAGUGAAGAAGG